AGCGGCAUCUUCUAAAUUGGAUAGGAAACUGAGCUGCAUAGUGAGGGAAUGUGGGUUCGAGUCCCACUACCGCUU
rnacentral:tRNA from 1 species